AGUUCGUAUAUGACUCCAGUCCUGGCGCUGGAUGCUGCUGCUGUUCCAGCUUCCUAGGUGUGGAAACUGAAGGACCAAGAGAUUAAACAUAAGUCAUUUCCCCUAUUCUGAGACUCCGUUUCCCCGUCUGUAAGGUGGAAAGAAUAGUAUCUGUUUCAUAGGAUCACGUGGUGCAAAAGUGGUAAGAAUUCAGCAUUCUCCUCGACAAGUGGACGAGCAUCUACUGUGCUUUCACAGCGGCUAUCACUAUUGCCAGCAGCAAGACUGUCAGCUCGGCGCCCUCGUCUGGUUGGAUGGGAAACUGCAGUUGCUAAGGGAGCUGGGUUGGAAUCUCUGAGGACAAAUGGGAAUUCUCACUGAUUUCUAGGACUACCCUGGGGCAGAGAUGGAGUUUCAUCACAUUGCCUAGGCUGGUCUCGAAAUCCUGGACUCAAGUGAUCUGCUGGCCUCAGCCUCCCUAACUGCUGGGACUAGAGGCCUGAGCGACCACCCCUGGCUGUAAACAUUUUCUUAGCUCAAGGAUUGCUGAAUUUGUAUCCAUUUUCUUCUCUCCUAUCUCAAUUGGGUGGGUGAAAUGAUACUGUUAAUUAUUUUCUGUUACUUUUGAAUGCUUCUUUGUGGCGAACUGAGGGCAUAGUAAUACUGUAGCAGCUAAGGCACCCUGCACAGCAAUACACACUGAACAAUGUCGAGUUUCUGCUGAAUAGACUUCCUACGUUGCUCUGGAAUUCGAAGUUGGCCUAACUGAGGUCUCCAGUUACAGAAAACACUGGCUCUGUAUCCUGGGCUUUGAGAAAACUUAUCAGGCUGUCACACUUACCAUCCCUUCAGUCUGCUUGUCAGGUUCCUUAAGGACGCAUAUCUCAAAUGUAUGGCAUCUACCUCUACCUGGGUCACAACCAAGUGGGUUUCUACUAGAUCGGUGUUCCUUGACAGCCAACAAGGGAGCUGACACUGCCCUCCUAAGUUCUGAUCUUGCUCCUGUUCAACUGGAACUUGAUGGAUCCCAUGUGGUUUCCCCCAUCCUGACGCUGUGGCUCAGACACUCUCCCUAAGCUGGUCCUUCCCUCCAAAUCCUGCCUUAAACACACUCAGAAGGUAGAAAACACUUCAGCAGCAAAGUCCUCUUCCCAAGCCAACAGUUGUGUUCUUCCAAUCACAUGAUCUUACCUUUUCAAUAAAAGGCAAAACAAACCAAUUUCCAACAUAGCAUUACAGCCUUUAAAACCAUUCACUUCUCAUAGUGAUUCACAGAGAACAAGAGAUUAAAGUGCUGGAUUUUAAAUGUCUAAAGUUGCCUUCAGGGCUACAAAAAGCCCUGCCGUGUGUGUUUUUCCUUCAUGGUGUUGAGGGGAAGGAAAGAUAGGGAAGGGCAGUGGGGAGAAACCCUAAAAUUUUCAAUCAGAAACUGGAAAUUGUAAAAGU
rnacentral:lncRNA from 1 species